rnacentral:lncRNA from 1 species
AUGUUUGCAGGUCAAAAAUUACACUCAGCUCUCAGAUCUGGUGAUUUUUGUUCAGAAGCCAAUACAUCAACAACAUCACAAGAAUUUGAUGAAUGUGCUUUGUCCAUUGUAAAUGCUAGGUGGGUGUUAAAGGACGGGACCAGACGACCGGAACCAUGGGAGGAAGAGCAGGCAGGCUGCAGGAGAGGAAGGAGGAAGGAACCGCAGGAGAGGGUGUGGCGUGAGGCCGAUGGAAACCACAGCUAUCUGUUGGGCAGGAAAGAGAAACCAGAUACAGCUUCCUGGGCAAUAGAACUUCAGAGACAAGCACAGUUUGCUGGCAACUCCAGGAGGCUGAAGCCACCAUUCCCGCAGCCUUUGGGGGGCUGUCUCAGGAGCUGAAAUGGGCCAGUUACAAACAGAAUUGGUUCUGCCGUCAUAGAAAACCACAAAAGCAUAUGUGUUUUCAGACACAAAAGCUACCACACUUUCUUUGGAAAACAAGGCACAGGUGAAAAAAAAAAAAAAUCUCACUUCUAAACAGAAUGGAAAGCAUGGCUAACUUGAGAUUUAUUUAAUUACAGUGUCUUUCUCCGGGCUAAUCAGUUUUAAAACCCAUUCAUAUUGGUGCCGAUGAGCCAAUAAAAGAUCCAGAAGAAAAGAAGUAUUAUAUCA